GGACUACUCGGGUUUCUAAUCCCGUUUGCUCCCCUGGCUUUCGUGUCUCAGCGUCAGCACACCCCCAGCAGACUGUUUUCACCUUUGGCGUUCCAGACGAUAUCUACGCAUUUCACCGCUCCACCGUCUGUUCCAUCUGCCCCUGAGUGGCUCAAGGCCGCCAGUAUACCCAGCAGUUCCCCGGUUGAGCCGGGGGAUUUCACAAGGUACUUAACGGUCCGCCUACACACGCUUUAAGCCCAGUGAUUCCGCCUAACGCUUGGCACCUCUGUCUUACCGCGGCUGCUGGCAC
rnacentral:rRNA from 1 species